ACACUGAUUAAGGAGACAGCCGCC
rnacentral:siRNA from 1 species